GUGCUGGCUUUGGCAGCACAUAUACAAAAAUUGGAACAAUACACAGAAAAUUAGCAUGGCCCCUGUGCAAGGAUCACAUGGAAAUUUGUGAAGCAUUCCAUAUGGGG